AUUGAACGCUGGCGGCAUGCCUUACACAUGCAAGUCGAACGGUAACAGGUCUUCGGAUGCUGACGAGUGGCGAACGGGUGAGUAAUACAUCGGAACGUGCCUAGUAGUGGGGGAUAACUACUCGAAAGAGUGGCUAAUACCGCAUGAGAUCUACGGAUGAAAGCAGGGGAUCGCAAGACCUUGUGCUACUAGAGCGGCCGAUGGCAGAUUAGGUAGUUGGUGGGAUAAAAGCUUACCAAGCCGACGAUCUGUAGCUGGUCUGAGAGGACGAUCAGCCACACUGGGACUGAGACACGGCCCAGACUCCUACGGGAGGCGGCAGUGGGGAAUUUUGGACAAUGGGCGCAAGCCUGAUCCAGCAAUGCCGCGUGCAGGAUGAAGGCCUUUGGGUUGUAAACUGCUUUUGUACGGAACGAAAAGCCCUGGGUUAAUACCCUGGGGUCAUGACGGUACCGUAAGAAUAAGCACCGGCUAACUACGUGCCAGCCGCCGCUGUAA
rnacentral:rRNA from 1 species